rnacentral:rRNA from 1 species
GGUUAAGCGACUAAGCGUACACGGUGGAUGCCCUGGCAGUCAGAGGCGAUGAAGGACGUGCUAAUCUGCGAUAAGCGUCGGUGAGGUGAUAUGAACCGUUAUAACCGGCGAUUUCCGAAUGGGGAAACCCAGUGUGUUUCGACACACUAUCAUUAACUGAAUCCAUAGGUUAAUGAGGCGAACCGGGGGAACUGAAACAUCUAAGUACCCCGAGGAAAAGAAAUCAACCGAGAUUCCCCCAGUAGCGGCGAGCGAACGGGGAGCAGCCCAGAGCCUGAAUCAGUGUGUGUGUUAGUGGAAGCGUCUGGAAAGGCGCGCGAUACAGGGUGACAGCCCCGUACACAAAAAUGCACAUACUGUGAGCUCGAUGAGUAGGGCGGGACACGUGGUAUCCUGUCUGAAUAUGGGGGGACCAUCCUCCAAGGCUAAAUACUCCUGACUGACCGAUAGUGAACCAGUACCGUGAGGGAAAGGCGAAAAGAACCCCGGCGAGGGGAGUGAAAAAGAACCUGAAACCGUGUACGUACAAGCAGUGGGAGCCUCUUAAUGGGGUGACUGCGUACCUUUUGUAUAAUGGGUCAGCGACUUAUAUUCUGUAGCAAGGUUAACCGAAUAGGGGAGCCGAAGGGAAACCGAGUCUUAACUGGGCGUUAAGUUGCAGGGUAUAGACCCGAAACCCGGUGAUCUAGCCAUGGGCAGGUUGAAGGUUGGGUAACACUAACUGGAGGACCGAACCGACUAAUGUUGAAAAAUUAGCGGAUGACUUGUGGCUGGGGGUGAAAGGCCAAUCAAACCGGGAGAUAGCUGGUUCUCCCCGAAAGCUAUUUAGGUAGCGCCUCGUGAAUUCAUCUCCGGGGGUAGAGCACUGUUUCGGCAAGGGGGUCAUCCCGACUUACCAACCCGAUGCAAACUGCGAAUACCGGAGAAUGUUAUCACGGGAGACACACGGCGGGUGCUAACGUCCGUCGUGAAGAGGGAAACAACCCAGACCGCCAGCUAAGGUCCCAAAGUCAUGGUUAAGUGGGAAACGAUGUGGGAAGGCCCAGACAGCCAGGAUGUUGGCUUAGAAGCAGCCAUCAUUUAAAGAAAGCGUAAUAGCUCACUGGUCGAGUCGGCCUGCGCGGAAGAUGUAACGGGGCUAAACCAUGCACCGAAGCUGCGGCAGCGACGCUUAUGCGUUGUUGGGUAGGGGAGCGUUCUGUAAGCCUGUGAAGGUGUGCUGUGAGGCAUGCUGGAGGUAUCAGAAGUGCGAAUGCUGACAUAAGUAACGAUAAAGCGGGUGAAAAGCCCGCUCGCCGGAAGACCAAGGGUUCCUGUCCAACGUUAAUCGGGGCAGGGUGAGUCGACCCCUAAGGCGAGGCCGAAAGGCGUAGUCGAUGGGAAACAGGUUAAUAUUCCUGUACUUGGUGUUACUGCGAAGGGGGGACGGAGAAGGCUAUGUUGGCCGGGCGACGGUUGUCCCGGUUUAAGCGUGUAGGCUGGUUUUCCAGGCAAAUCCGGAAAACCAAGGCUGAGGCGUGAUGACGAGGCACUACGGUGCUGAAGCGACAAAUGCCCUGCUUCCAGGAAAAGCCUCUAAGCAUCAGGUAACAUCAAAUCGUACCCCAAACCGACACAGGUGGUCAGGUAGAGAAUACCAAGGCGCUUGAGAGAACUCGGGUGAAGGAACUAGGCAAAAUGGUGCCGUAACUUCGGGAGAAGGCACGCUGAUAUGUAGGUGAAGCGACUUGCUCGUGGAGCUGAAAUCAGUCGAAGAUACCAGCUGGCUGCAACUGUUUAUUAAAAACACAGCACUGUGCAAACACGAAAGUGGACGUAUACGGUGUGACGCCUGCCCGGUGCCGGAAGGUUAAUUGAUGGGGUUAGCGGUAACGCGAAGCUCUUGAUCGAAGCCCCGGUAAACGGCGGCCGUAACUAUAACGGUCCUAAGGUAGCGAAAUUCCUUGUCGGGUAAGUUCCGACCUGCACGAAUGGCGUAAUGAUGGCCAGGCUGUCUCCACCCGAGACUCAGUGAAAUUGAACUCGCUGUGAAGAUGCAGUGUACCCGCGGCAAGACGGAAAGACCCCGUGAACCUUUACUAUAGCUUGACACUGAACAUUGAGCCUUGAUGUGUAGGAUAGGUGGGAGGCUUUGAAGUGUGGACGCCAGUCUGCAUGGAGCCGGCCUUGAAAUACCACCCUUUAAUGUUUGAUGUUCUAACGUUGGCCCGUGAUCGGGGUUGCGGACAGUGUCUGGUGGGUAGUUUGACUGGGGCGGUCUCCUCCUAAAGAGUAACGGAGGAGCACGAAGGUUGGCUAAUCCUGGUCGGACAUCAGGAGGUUAGUGCAAUGGCAUAAGCCAGCUUGACUGCGAGCGUGACGGCGCGAGCAGGUGCGAAAGCAGGUCAUAGUGAUCCGGUGGUUCUGAAUGGAAGGGCCAUCGCUCAACGGAUAAAAGGUACUCCGGGGAUAACAGGCUGAUACCGCCCAAGAGUUCAUAUCGACGGCGGUGUUUGGCACCUCGAUGUCGGCUCAUCACAUCCUGGGGCUGAAGUAGGUCCCAAGGGUAUGGCUGUUCGCCAUUUAAAGUGGUACGCGAGCUGGGUUUAGAACGUCGUGAGACAGUUCGGUCCCUAUCUGCCGUGGGCGCUGGAGAACUGAGGGGGGCUGCUCCUAGUACGAGAGGACCGGAGUGGACGCAUCACUGGUGUUCGGGUUGUCAUGCCAAUGGCACUGCCCGGUAGCUAAAUGCGGAAGAGAUAAGUGCUGAAAGCAUCUAAGCACGAAACUUGCCCCGAGAUGAGUUCUCCCUGACUCCUUGAGGGUCCUGAAGGAACGUUGAAGACGACGACGUUGAUAGGCCGGGUGUGUAAGCGCAGCGAUGCGUUGAGCUAACCGGUACUAAUGAACCGUGAGGCUUAACCUU